GCGGGAGUAGUUUAGUGGUAGAAUAUAACCUUGCCAAGGUUGAGAUCACGGGUUCAAUUCCCGUCUCCCGCU
rnacentral:tRNA from 1 species